rnacentral:rRNA from 1 species
AGAGUUUGAUCAUGGCUCAGAUUGAACGCUGGCGGAAUGCUUUACACAUGCAAGUCGAACGGCAGCACGGGGGCAACCCUGGUGGCGAGUGGCGAACGGGUGAGUAAUACAUCGGAACGUGCCCAGUCGUGGGGGAUAACGUAGCGAAAGCUACGCUAAUACCGCAUACGAACUCUGGUUGAAAGCGGGGGAUCGCAAGACCUCGCGCGAUUGGAGCGGCCGAUGGCAGAUUAGGUAGUUGGUGGGGUAAAGGCUCACCAAGCCGACGAUCUGUAGCUGGUCUGAGAGGACGACCAGCCACACUGGGACUGAGACACGGCCCAGACUCCUACGGGAGGCAGCAGUGGGGAAUUUUGGACAAUGGGCGCAAGCCUGAUCCAGCCAUUCCGCGUGCAGGAUGAAGGCCCUCGGGUUGUAAACUGCUUUUGUACGGAACGAAAAGGCUCUCUCUAAUACAGGGGGCUGAUGACGGUACCGUAAGAAUAAGCACCGGCUAACUACGUGCCAGCAGCCGCGGUAAUACGUAGGGUGCGAGCGUUAAUCGGAAUUACUGGGCGUAAAGCGUGCGCAGGCGGUUAUGUAAGACAGGUGUGAAAUCCCCGGGCUUAACCUGGGAACUGCAUUUGUGACUGCAUAGCUAGAGUACGGUAGAGGGGGAUGGAAUUCCGCGUAGCAGUGAAAUGCGUAGAUAUGCGGAGGAACACCGAUGGCGAAGGCAAUCCCCUGGACCUGUACUGACGCUCAUGCACGAAAGCGUGGGGAGCAAACAGGAUUAGAUACCCUAGUAGUCC